rnacentral:rRNA from 1 species
GACCCUGUUCAACGGCCGCGGUAUCCUGACCGUGCGAAGGUAGCGUAAUCACUUGUUCUUUAAAUAAGGACUGGUAUGAAUGGCAUCACGAGGGUUAUGCUGUCUCCCCUUUCUAAUCAAUGAAACUAAUCUCCCCGUGAAGAAGCGAGGAUAACACUAUAAGACGAGAAGACCCCAUGGAGCUUAAGACAAACAGCAUAUGCUAACAUCCCACCUAGCCAAGCAUUUUGACUAUUAGUCUUCGGUUGGGGCGACCAUGGAGAACAGCACAUCCUCCACGCUGAAAGAACCCCGUUCUUAACCACAAGCUACACCUUUAAGUACUAACACCUUAACAUCCAUUGACCCAAUAAUAUUGACCAACGAACCUAGUUACCCUGGGGAUAACAGCGCAAUCCAUUUCAAGAGCCCCUAUCGACAAAUGGGUUUACGACCUCGAUGUUGGAUCAGGGUAUCCUAGUGGUGCAGCC